AGUGAACGCUGGCGGUAGGCCUAACACAUGCAAGUCGAACGGCAGCACAGAGGAGCUUGCUCCUUGGGUGGCGAGUGGCGGACGGGUGAGGAAUACAUCGGAAUCUACUCUGUCGUGGGGGAUGACGUAGGGAAACUUACGCUAAUACCGCAUCCGACCUACGGGUGAAAGCAGGGGAUCUUCGGACCUUGCGCGAUUGAAUGAGCUGAUGUCGGAUUAGCUAGUUGGCGGGGUAAAGGCCCACCAAGGGGACGAUCCGUAGCUGGUCUGAGAGGAUGAUCAGCCACACUGGAACUGAGACACGGUCCAGACUCCUACGGGAGGCAGCAGUGGGGAAUAUUGGACAAUGGGCGCAAGCCUGAUCCAGCCAUACCACGUGGGUGAAGAAGGCCUUCGGGUUGUAAAGCCCUUUUGUUGGGAAAGAAAUCCAUCUGGUUAAUACCCGGGUGGGAUGACGGUACCCAAAGAAUAAGCACCGGCUAACUUCGUGCCAGCCGCCGCCGUAA
rnacentral:rRNA from 1 species